UACGUAGGGUGCGAGCGUUGUCCGGAAUUAUUGGGCGUAAAGAGCUCGUAGGCGGUGUGUCACGUCGGCCGUGAAAACCUGCAGCUUAACUGUGGGCGUGCGGUCGAUACGGGCAUCACUGGAGUUCGGCAGGGGAGACUGGAAUUCCUGGUGUAGCGGUGAAAUGCGCAGAUAUCAGGAGGAACACCGGUGGCGAAGGCGGGUCUCUGGGCCAUUACUGACGCUGAGGAGCGAAAGCGUGGGGAGCGAACAGG
rnacentral:rRNA from 1 species